rnacentral:lncRNA from 1 species
AGCUCUCAGAGUUGGGUAAAAACAUGGAAACCACUUGGAGUGACAUCUCUCUAUCUGAUGUUGAAUCCAGCACGAGUGGGUCUGACAGUUCCCAAUCAGAUGGCCCUCCUGCACAUUUGCUCAAGAUGGUAGAAAAGGACUGUAAUGAGAAGAAGAAAAAGAAGAAGAAGAAACUUCUGCGAACCAGGAAAGAAAGAAAUGAUUUGCAUCAGAAAUUUGCUGUGAACCAUCCAUUAAAGCACAAGGAAAAAGUUCUGGGAGAAAACUCAAAUAACUGUCAAAAGUGUCAAGAGAUUCCUAAAGGAAAACAGAUUGUUCCCUUGACUGAAUGUGAGUUCAGGAUCAAGAAUCCCAGUCCCCUCCUGAUAUCCACGAUUCCUCUAUCACCAAUACAGAAAAACAGCUUCACCACAUCAACCAUCAAACAGCUUCCUGCUCCAUUUUAUGUGCAUUCCAAUGGAGAAUCUAAUGGGAAACAGGAUGCAGGUACCUCUCUUCCAUCAUCCUGCCCUGGAGUCAAACGGUACAGGUCCUUGUGGUGGAACCCUGAAGUACCUUCUGUGACUUCAAUGCUACGUCGAAGUCUCUCUUUGAAAUCUCAGAUUGUAUUAGGCAAUAGACCUAGGUGGCACUUGAGUCAAAGCAGAUCACAGGUUCUUCCUCAUCGAGAAUUCAUAUGGAAGCCUUUCCAAAUUGACCCCAUACUUCUCAGGACAGAGAAUGAAUACUGUGCCAAUACCAAGGGACUACAUAAAGUAAUCGGUCAAAAAUAC